rnacentral:ribozyme from 1 species
GUUUUACAUGUAUUUUACCUUCUCGUGGUGUAAAAUGUUAGUAAUUCCUUUUGGAAUGAAGCUAAAAAAUA